UGCCACCUGAAAAGGGGAAUGAGGAACUUGACCUUGGGGUGAGUAAGGAGAUGUGGAUAGUCUGAAAAGAGUGUUCUUUGGAGAGGAGAUCCAGAAAUUGGCAUUUGUGAGGUGGUAUCAAGUCUUGCAGGAUAAUUCUCAAACGUUGUUUCUUAAACUGGGUCGAUCAAGUCCAAUCAGGAAGAUCAUAAUUUUACAGAAACUAGGGCGUAUAAAGAAUGAUGUGUUUUUUGUUAGGACAAGUUCUUGUGUUUGCAUUCACAGCCCUCAGAUAAGAAGGGAUGAACUUAAACAAUUUCCCAGUAAAAUCAGCUUUUGAAGUUUUACUGAGUUUUCAUGGUCAUACUGGUGUGUGCUUGAUAUUUACACAUGCUUAAGUUCAUUUCUGCAUGAGUCUCAAAGUCUUGGCACUUUCUUGAGACAUGGCAGACUAUUCUAAAUCCAACUAGAUCAAAUAGCUCUGGCUAUAGUAGAUGUACUUUUGGACUUCUCUCAAACAGCCUUGGGUCAUAGUUCAAGGAGUAGUUGCUAUCUUUCUACCUCCUACCUCAAGUUAGCAAUAUUUAAGUCUCUGAGGAAGCAACCUUUUUUUGUUCUUUUUGUCCUUUAUUGCUUCCUGUGGCUUUAAAAAAAAAAAAAAACCUGAUUGGAAUAGAAAGAAUAUUAUAUACAGAAAGACAGAAUUAACACUAAAUUUCACAUUUUGAAAAUUCUUUUAAAACUUUGAAUAUUGGUCCUAAUUAUUAAUAUAUGUAUUAGCUUUUAUCACAUUGAAAAAAUAUACACUGCUGUUGCUACUCACUGCCCACACUUAAGCUGCUGACUUUUUGACUGAAAGUGAAUAUGUUUAGUGUCCUUAAAAGGCCACAUUGUUUUGGGAUGUCUGGGUCUCUCAGUCAGUUAAACAUCUGACUGUUGAUCUCAGCUCAGGUCUUCAUCUCAGGGUCAUGAGUUCAAGCUCCAUGUUGGCUCCACACCCACCUACUUUAAAAAAAAAAGCUGUAUUCUGUUAUUAAAACCCAUGGGCUUUUAGAAGAUAAUAUCCUUCAGAAAACUACAUCAGGUUUGUAAGGCUCUUAGGGCAACAGUAGUAUAUUCUAUCAAUUGUUUAAAGUUAGUUCUUCUUGUAUCUUUUAAGUAAGCACAUGCCAAAGGUUUUUUUGUUUUGUUUUGUUUUUAAUUUUUUUUAAUUAACAUAUAAUGUAUUAUUUGCCCCAGUGAUACAGGUCUGUGAAUUGUCAGGCUUACACACUUCACAGCACUCAUCAUUGCACAUACUCUUCCCAACGUCCGUUACCCAACCAUCCUCUCCAUACUCCCCUCUCCCCGACAGCCAAAGGUUUUUUUAAGGCAGACUUUAUUUUCAUCCCUGCAAUAUCCAAGUAAAAUAAGAAGUAAUUAAUGUCUUCUCAGUAGGUAAAUAAGUGUAGUUUAUUAUGUUUUCUUUAGUCAACUGAAUUAAAACAUCUUUUGGGUUUUUCUGUAAUCUCCUAAAUUUUGGGGCACUUUAAACACUAAUAAUUUUGACAUCAGAUAUGAUAGACCAGUCUGGAAUGUCUAUUUAAAAAGAUGUAUUAAAGUUGAAAACAAGUUUCUGAAAUGUAAGUUACUUUAAAAAUAUUUGGUAUAUUGAAGAUGAAUAAACAAAUGAUCCAGUAUUAAAAAUAGCUAUUUUAAAUGAGUGAAAGUGACCUAUGACUGGUAGAACUGAAGUCUUUUAUUGACUUGAAGGGAACAUUUGUCUUUGUCAGUUAUAGAAAGAUCAUAUGUAUAGAUAUAGAUCUAGAUAUAGGUGACAAAAUAAAAAUGAGAAUUUUAUGAAAUUUCUAUUUUAUAGUUAAAAAGCAAGCCUAUUACCACAGAUCUUGUACAACUAAUAUUAGAAUAUAUGCUUUCUGGUUAGUCUGUGGUUUCCUCUUUUACAUUUUCUAUUUCCUCCUUCACGUUUAAGUAUGGUGGAUUUACUUAUCUGUUUGUACACAAAGAGAUGGAUUUAAGGAUCAUGGAGCAUCCUAGGUCUAGAAGUUUACUUCAGUGUAGUGAUAAUAGUAGUAGAGGGAAAACAGAUUAUCAUGAGAGCUUGUAACAUUCAUGGUCCAAAAUCAGUUUCUUUGUCCAUUACAAGAUUUUCUACCCUCUCUAAGGAAAUGCAAAGUCAGUUGGCGAUCUGACUUAAUUUAGACACUUUAUAACUGAGAAAAGUUUCAACCAAGUUCCAAAAUCUUUGGAAGUGUAGGAUUUUAUACUCAUCAUACUCCUGGUAUUUUAUUUGCAUUCUUCCCUUAGAAAAACAUAAGCAUUUUAAAAAUCUCAUUUAGUUUCUACAGCAUUCUUAUGAGUAUGAAAUAUAUUUACCUCUAUUUAGUCAUUCAUCAGAUAUUUGUUGAGUGUCCUAAUAUUUGCCCAUAGUUAGAGUAAGCAGCAGUUAGCAAGAAAGAACUGUUUUUUGUUCUCAUGAAAUGUAUCAUCUAAACAAUAGUAUAAAUAACUAUUACCAUGUUAAAUGCUUUGGAUGAAAAGUGCAUGGUAUUAUAAGAGAAUAAGGAGAUAGCCUGGUCCGGGUAUCUUGGAGGGCCUCUUCAAGAAAUGAUUUAUUUAAUUUAAUUUUAUUUAUUUGAAAGAGAGAGCAUGAGUAGGGGGAUGGGUGGGGAGAGAGAGAAAGAAGGAGAAGCAGACUCCACUGAGCAGGGAACCUUACUUGGGACUUGAUCCCAGGACUCUGUCAUCAUAACCUGAGCCAAAACCAAGAGUUGGAUGCUUAACAGGCUGAGCCACCCAGGUGCCUGAAGAAAUGAUUUUUGAGUGAAUUCUGAAAGGUAUUUGGCUGUGUUGCUGACUUAAACAUUUAAAUUAUUUUGUGAGAACAAUAGGAGACAGGUAUUCCUAAUACUCUAAAAUUGUGAAACAGAUUAUUGGUUAGCAAGCUUUUCCUGAUUUUGAAUAUGAAUAUCCUUAGCUUUAAAACAGCUGUCUCCAGUGCAGCAAAUAGCUUGAUAGGACUACUGGAAGCCAUAAGCCAAGAUUUGUUUGGUGUGUAAUAAAAAACUGGGCAGACAUAGGGUGCCUGGGCUGCUCAGUCAGUUAAGCCGUGGACUCUUGGUUCUGCAUUGAGUGGGGAGUCUGUUUGAGACUCUGUCUCUCCCUCUCCUUCUGCCCUUCCCCUGCUUGUAUGCAUGUGUUCUGUUCCUCUCUAAAAUCUUAAACAACAACAACAACAACAAAAAACAGAAAACAAACUAAGCAGACAGGAUACGAAGAAAACGGAGCUCAUUCUAGGUUCAUUUGUUUAGCCCGUGGAGACCCUAGCCCGUGGAAGUUUUGUGUGUUGUUUCACACGUUAGCAUCCUUUUCCUUGAUAGGUUGAUGGUAAGGCAGUAAUCAUGGGUUUUUGUUUGUUGUGUUUUUUGUUUUGUUUUUUUUUUUUUUUGAGAGUUCCACUUGGCUUUUGUUUUUCUGGGUUUUGAUCACCUAAUAUGAGAGUUUAAUGGAGGAGUGAAGAUGAGGCUCUGCCAUCCUGAUUACCAGUACUGUUUUCUUGGGCCUAAGCUACUUCUUGAACCACCUUCUUCUUGAAGUUGAGUUUCUUAAUUCUAGAGUCUGAUCGUUUGUCUCAACUCUUCCUGCUAACUCCUAACACUGCUUUUUAAGGUACAUGUUAUAAAUGUUAGUCAGUAAUGAAAGAAAAACACUAUGUAUAAUUUCUAGUAUUUGAAAACAAGUAGUUCAAACUGAAAAAUAAGAAAAAUAAAAAAUACUGUAUCAUUUUAUGCUCACAUUAUAUUAUAUAUUAGUUAUAUAUGUAGAACAAAAGCAUGAAAAUAUAAAAAUAUAAGCCAAAUACCAUUUGAAAGUAUAAGAUACAUAUGUGUGUGUGUAUAGUCUUGAAUGCAGAUACUGCUGCUGAUAAAAUUACACACGUGUGUAGCACAGUGGAGUGUAGUGAAGAGCACACUGAUUUUGAAAAGGAGUUGAGUUUGAGCCCCACCCCUGCCAUUUAACAACUGUGUGAGCUUGGACAGAUCACUUGCCUCAUCUAACCCAGUGUAACUCUGAAGUAUGUGUGUGAUAGCUGCCCUGCAGACUGGUCCUGAAAGUUCAUUGAGAUCAUCUGAGGAGAGGCCAUAGCACAGUCCUCAAGCUUACAUCCUGUGCUGACCUGUGGCAGAUUCCAAAUACCCAGAGACCUGCUGCUUAGAGACCAAGGGAGAAAUUUAAAAUCACUUGUCUUUAUUCUUGCAUGACAGAGCCGUUUGUAUCAAAUUCAUCAUACCUUUCUGAACUGCAGUAUAUUCGUGCCUUCCAGAUUGCACAUAUGGUUAAAAACAACGUCCUUCAGUGUGUUCAUUUGUUUGACGUACUCUGUUACCUCUUCUGGCUCCAUGCUCUAGUGCAGCAUUUAAUACACCUCUGAUGAGAGAUUUUGUUCCUCAUCUUCAUCAAUGCCAAGUGUUUG